GAAAUGCGAUAAGUAGUGUGAAUUGCAGAAUUCAGUGAAUCAUCGAAUCUUUGAACGCACAUUGCGCCCCUUGGUAUUCCAUGGGGCAUGCCUGUUCGAGCGUCAUUUGUACCCUCAAGCUCUGCUUGGUGUUGGGUGUUUGUCCCGUCUCCGCGCGUGGACUCGCCCCAAAGUGAUUGGCAGCCGGCGUACUGGUCCCGGAGCGCAGCACAUGUCGCGCAAACGAGUGCCUUGGUACUGCGGCGUCCAUAAGCCCCUCUCUCACGCUCUUGACCUCGGAUCAGGUAGGGAUACCCGCUGAACUUAAGC
rnacentral:misc_RNA from 1 species